rnacentral:rRNA from 1 species
GAUGAACGCUGGCGGCGUGCCUAAUACAUGCAAGUCGAGCGAACAGACGAGGAGCUUGCUCCUCUGACGUUAGCGGCGGACGGGUGAGUAACACGUGGAUAACCUACCUAUAAGACUGGGAUAACUUCGGGAAACCGGAGCUAAUACCGGAUAAUAUAUUGAACCGCAUGGUUCAAUAGUGAAAGACGGUUUUGCUAUCACUUAUAGAUGGAUCCGCGCCGCAUUAGCUAGUUGGUAAGGUAACGGCUUACCAAGGCAACGAUGCGUAGCCGACCUGAGAGGGUGAUCGGCCACACUGGAACUGAGACACGGUCCAGACUCCUACGGGAGGCAGCAGUAGGGAAUCUUCCGGAAUGGGCGAAAGCUUGACGGAGCAACGCCGCGUGAGUGAUGAAGGUCUUCGGAUCGUAAAACUCUGUUAUUAGGGAAGAACAAAUGUGUAAGUAACUAUGCACGUCUUGACGGUACCUAAUCAGAAAGCCACGGCUAACUACGUG